rnacentral:rRNA from 1 species
AUUGAACGCUGGCGGCAGGCUUAACACAUGCAAGUCGAGCGGGGUGAUGAUGCUUGCACUAUCACUUAGCGGCGGACGGGUGAGUAAUGCUUAGGAAUCUGCCUAUUAGUGGGGGACAACAUCUCGAAAGGGAUGCUAAUACCGCAUACGUCCUACGGGAGAAAGCAGGGGAUCACUUGUGACCUUGCGCUACUAGAUGAGCCUAAGUCGGAUUAGCUAGUUGGUGGGGUAAAGGCCUACCAAGGCGACGAUCUGUAGCGGGUCUGAGAGGAUGAUCCGCCACGCUGGGACUGAGACACGGCCCAGACUCCUACGGGAGGCAGCAGUGGGGAAUAUUGGACAAUGGGGGGAACCCUGAUCCAGCCAUGCCGCGUGUGUGAAGAAGGCCUUAUGGUUGUAAAGCACUUUAAGCGAGGAGGAGGCUCUUUUGGUUAAUACCCAAGAUGAGUGGACGUUACUCGCAGAAUAAGCACCGGCUAACACUGUGCCAGCAGCCGCGGUAA